rnacentral:rRNA from 1 species
UACGUAGGGUGCGAGCGUUAAUCGGAAUUACUGGGCGUAAAGCGUGCGCAGGCGGUUUUGUAAGCCAGAUGUGAAAUCCCCGGGCUUAACCUGGGAAUGGCAUUUGGGACUGCAAGGCUUGAGUGCGGCAGAGGAGACUGGAAUUCCUGGUGUAGCAGUGAAAUGCGUAGAUAUCAGGAGGAAUACCGAUGGCGAAGGCAGGUCUCUGGGCUGACACUGACGCUCAUGCACGAAAGCGUGGGGAGCAAA